UGGGAGUUAAUUGGUGUAGAGAAUGAAGCAGGGAGAGUAGAUGACAUGGAGGACAGCAUUUACUUCUUCCAUUGGCUGUGACUUCUGUGUCUCCACUUUCCUGGCUCCCCUCAUCUGUGGACUAGAGGAAAUUUAGAUACAAGGAGAUGUGUAGAAAGAAGACAACAAGAGAACAGAAGAGACCCAUUGGUUGAGGAGAGGUGCCCAGAGCAAAGACAAGGAAGGUUUAGGCAUUGACAGACAUUUGCUUCAUAACAUUGCUUCUUACUGCCGAUUUCUGUAAGAUGGAGUUGUCAAACAUUUGAGUGCAUCCACUGAUGCCUGUGAGACCAAGAGUACACGGGGACAUCCUUCUUCCUCCCACAGAUCUACUUCUGAUGGAAAAUUCACUUAAGCAGCAUAAUCAAGACCAACUAAGAAAGGUUAGCCACGGUCAAAGGAAAUUGAUGAAGAGUGGCUAUUAAGGGAUGGAGCAUAUGUACGCAGACUAUGGUUAAAUAACGGUAAGUAGGACGUGUUUAUUAAAAUGAUGCAGGGAUUUUAUACCUUCAUUCUUGAUGUCUCUUAGUACCUGACAUUAUACUGCUACGGUUUCCAUGGAGACAGCACACACUCUUCCUUUCAGCUGACCUGAAGUUCAAGCCCUGCUGUUGCAAUAGAAAUUCUAAAAAACCACUUCCACAUUUAUUAAAAACAAAAAUACAAAAUCUAUGUAAAAAGGAAAAGGAAAAAAAAAGAGGACGAGAGAAUCCAUUGACUAUAUUACAGAAGAGGAGCGAGAAUGUGCUGUUUUCAUUAAGACAGAAUCAAGAA